GCCAGGCACAGUGGGCAUGCUUAUAGUCCCAGCUACUCCAGAGACCAAGGCAGGAGAAUCACUUGUGUCCAGUAACAGGCUGUAGUACACUGUGCUGAUAGAGUGUCUGCACUAAGUUUGCAGGUGUUCUCCGGAGCUGGGGAUCAAUAUCGUAAUUGCCAGGGAGUAGGGAACCAUCAGGUCACCUAGGGAGGGAUGAACUGGCCCAGGUUGUAAGUGGAGCAGAUUAAAACUCCCUUACUAAUCAGUGGUGAGAUGGUAGCCAUGAAUAGCCACUGUAAUUGAGUCUGGGGAACAUAGUGAGACCCUGUCUUU
rnacentral:SRP_RNA from 1 species